AUUGAACGCUGGCGGCAUGCCUUACACAUGCAAGUCGAACGGUAACAGGUUAAGCUGACGAGUGGCGAACGGGUGAGUAAUAUAUCGGAACGUGCCCAGUCGUGGGGGAUAACGUAGCGAAAGCUACGCUAAUACCGCAUACGAUCUACGGAUGAAAGCGGGGGAUCGCAAGACCUCGCGCGAUUGGAGCGGCCGAUAUCAGAUUAGGUUGUUGGUGAGGUAAAAGCUCACCAAGCCUGCGAUCUGUAGCUGGUCUGAGAGGACGACUAGCCACACUGGAACUGAGACACGGUCCAGACUCCUACGGGAGGCAGCAGUGGGGAAUUUUGGACAAUGGACGCAAGUCUGAUCCAGCAAUGCCGCGUGCGGGACGAAGGCCUUCGGGUUGUAAACUGCUUUUGUACGGAACGAAACGGUGAGCUCUAAUACAGUUUGCUAAUGACGGUACCGUAAGAAUAAGCACCGGCUAACUACGUGCCAGCAGCCGCCGUAA
rnacentral:rRNA from 1 species